UACGGAGGAUGCGAGCGUUAUCCGGAUUUAUUGGGUUUAAAGGGUGCGCAGGCGGAAUGUCAAGUCAGCGGUAAAAUUUCGGGGCUCAACCCCGUCGUGCCGUUGAAACUGGCGUUCUUGAGUGAGCGAGAAGUAUGCGGAAUGCGUGGUGUAGCGGUGAAAUGCUUAGAUAUCACGAAGAACUCCGAUUGCGAAGGCAGCUCACUGGACUGCAACUGACACUGAGGCUCGAAAGUGUGGGUAUCAAACAGG
rnacentral:rRNA from 1 species